rnacentral:snoRNA from 7 species
AUUUCAUCAGAGAACACAAAAGAACAUUCUUAAAACUAAAUAGCUCUGCUAUGGGGGUGAUGGCCAGUCCUGGUGUCUGAGUGAUU